AAAACAUUAAACGAUUUCCGCUCCAAAUAACUUCCCUAUUAUGAACUCACAAAUAAUAUAUCACUUCACAAUCUCCUCCCAAACUUUCCAAAUCUCCGUGCCACCCCGAAAAUAACCGCCUUGGUAACUAGGCCAUGAUCGAGAGUACAUGCAAGGACCACUGCACCACCAACCAGGGCGAACUUGAACAACCCCCAUGGUUUCUGCUCUUCCACUUCAAUGGCGUUCGAUGUUUCAGUACUGGUUUCAACUGAUCGGAGGUAGUCAACAUCAAUCUUGGUAGUGAUCUGCGCCAUGAGGGCACACCGUGAGAGCGGCUCACUGGACCUCCUGGCCAACUGGUAGGCUCGAAGGCCAGGCUCGAUCUUCUUGACACAUGCCCACAUUCCCUGGCGGAUUCCGAGUUUCGCUAUCUCCCACGGGAUGCCCAUGUCCUCGUGAUGGAAGAGUAAUACUUCACAGGCUGUCAUCUGGCCAUCCCCUCUGCUCGACUCGACAGCACGGAUACACCAACUUGAAUAGUACAGGUCGACUCGUCUGGGUUUAUUUCGUCUGGGUAGUGACAAGUAUGGCACCCCCUUUGUCACACAGUAAUAUGCUCUGCCCAAGUCCCAAAUUCGCCGUCCAAUAGUGUACUCUCUAUCACUGCAGAAGAACGGAAACUUCCGGACCCAAUGAACUAUCAUCGUCCCAGUUGUCGGACACUCUUCCAAAGUCUCAUGAUACAAAAGCAUGUCAUCCCAUCCAUUCUUAAUCCGAAACUCGUCAUCCCAAAAGAAGUCUCUCACUAACUCCGGUGUCACAUCCUCAUACACAGUCCUGCUCCGAUAUUGCGG
rnacentral:misc_RNA from 1 species